rnacentral:rRNA from 1 species
GUGGGGAAUCUUAGACAAUGGGGGCAACCCUGAUCUAGCCAUGCCGCGUGAGUGAUGAAGGCCUUAGGGUUGUAAAGCUCUUUUGUCCGGGAAGAUAAUGACUGUACCGGAAGAAUAAGCCCCGGCUAACUUCGUGCCAGCAGCCGCGGUAAUACGAAGGGGGCUAGCGUUGUUCGGAAUCACUGGGCGUAAAGCGCACGUAGGCGGACCAUUAAGUCAGGGGUGAAAGCCUGGAGCUCAACUCCAGAACUGCCUUUGAUACUGAUGGUCUCGAGUAUGGAAGAGGUUGGUGGAACUGCGAGUGUAGAGGUGAAAUUCGUAGAUAUUCGCAAGAACACCGGUGGCGAAGGCGGCCAACUGGUCCAUUACUGACGCUGAGGUGCGAAAGCGUGGGGAGCAAACAGGAUUAGAAACCCGAGUAGUCC